GCUUUCAGAUAAAGAAAAUAAAUACAGUGGUGACAUUUGUAAAGAUAUAAGCUGGAUUCCCAAGCUGUUUGCUUAGGGAAGGAUCUGCAUUACUACUCACAAGCACAAAAACCACAAGAACUCUACUAAACAGCAAUAUGUCUUUGGGAACCCUUUUUAACUUCCAUCAUGCCUAUGUCUGUGCUGCUGCCAGAGCUAUUGUGGACUCAAGGAACAGAGAACAGUUUUUGAGAGCUUA
rnacentral:lncRNA from 1 species